UACGUAGGGGGCAAGCGUUGUCCGGAAUCAUUGGGCGUAAAGAGCGUGUAGGCGGCCCGGUAAGUCCGCUGUGAAAGUCCAGGGCUCAACCCUGGAAUGCCGGUGGAUACUGUCGAGCUCGAGUCCGGAAGAGGCGAGUGGAAUUCCUGGUGUAGCGGUGAAAUGCGCAGAUAUCGGGAAGAACACCCGUGGCGAAGGCGGUUCUCUGGGACGGUACUGACGCUGAGACGCGAAAGCGUGGGGAGCGAACAGG
rnacentral:rRNA from 1 species